rnacentral:rRNA from 1 species
UACGUAGGUGGCAAGCGUUGUCCGGAAUUACUGGGCGUAAAGAGCGCGUAGGCGGGGAUUUAAGUCAGGAGUGAAAACUACCGGCUCAACCGGUAGCCUGCUCUUGAAACUGAAUUUCUUGAGGGUAUGAGAGGAAAGCGGAAUUCCCAGUGUAGCGGUGAAAUGCGUAGAUAUUGGGAGGAACACCAGUGGCGAAGGCGGCUUUCUGGCAUACAACUGACGCUGAGGCGCGAAAGCGUGGGGAGCAAACGGG